rnacentral:rRNA from 1 species
GAUGAACGCUGGCGGCGUGCCUAAUACAUGCAAGUCGAGCGAACGGACGAGAAGCUUGCUGCUCUGAUGUUAGCGGCGGACGGGUGAGUAACACGUGGAUAACCUACCUAUAAGACUGGGAUAACUUCGGGAAACCGGAGCUAAUACCGGAUGAUAUUUUGAACCGCAUGGUUCAAAAGUGAAAGACGGCCUUGCUGUCACUUAUCGAUGGAUCUGCGCUGCAUUAGCUAGUUGGUAAGGUAACGGGUUACCAAGGCAACGAUGCAUAGCCGACCUGAGAGGGUGAUCGGCCACACUAGAACUGAGACGCGGUCCAGACUCCUACGGGAGGCAGCAGUAGGGAAUCUUCCGCAAUGGGCGAAAGCCUGACGGAGCGACGCCGCGUGAGUGAUGAAGGUGUUCGGAGCGUAAAACUCUGUUAUUAGGGAAGAACAUAUGUGUAAGUAACUGUGCACAUCUUGACGGUACCUAAUCAGAAAGCCACGGCUAACUACGUG